UGGGUGAUAGCUGGUUGCCUGUAAAACGAAUUUAAGUUCCCCCUCAGCCCCCUCCCUAAGACAAACCACCAAAUCCCCAUGCAGUGGGCUAAGAGCCAUUUAAAGGGGGUACAGCCCCUUUAAAAAAGGACACAACCUCCACUAGCGGAUAACCUCGCCUCACCCUAACCCUGUGGGCCUUAAAGCAGCCACCCCCAAAGAACGCGUCAAAGCUCCAUAAACCAAAAAUUCUAAAACUGUGUAAAUCCCUAACCCACAACAGGCCAACCUACAACUGUAGGUGAACCAA
rnacentral:rRNA from 1 species